AAGAAUAUAUUUUUAAAGAAAUCACGUGUGAUCUUAAUAAAAAACGUGUAUUACUACAAUAUCAUGAUAAAAAGAGAUAUUAAACUGAAUAGAAUGUUUUUUCUAAAAAAUACCAUGUGCUUUUUAUAAAUACUAUGUAAUAAGAGAAAAUAACAAGAUAAAAAGAGGAUAUUAUGUUAUCGCAUGUAUUUCGGAAAAAUAACAUGUUACAAAGGACAUUUACGUAAUUACACGUAUUUUCCAACAUGUUUCCGACAAGAUACUGUGACUCAAGGUUAGUUUGUACAUUCUUUUCAAAUCUAUAGUCAUUUAUUAUAAAUACUCAAAAAUAUAAGAUUUAUCAGUCUAAAAUUUUUUAUAAAUGACAAAAGAAUUAGAGAACGAAGAAAAACAUGACAUUUUUACUCAUGUUUCGCGUAGAAAUGUACGGUGCAGUGUAAUUUCAAUAAUAACAAAAAUAUCUAAAUAUGUAUAUGUAUGUAUAUAUAUAUACUAGAUUUUAACCCGCGGUAUACCGUGGGACGAUUUCUUUUUUUAAAAGUAAUAUAUAUUAAAAUUUGCAAAUUUUAUUUUUAUAAAAUAUUUAUAUUUUACAGUUUAUAAUUGUUAUUAAGUAACGCUAUACCACGAAUCCAUGAGACAAUUGUUAAAAAACUGAAGUUGUAAUCCCUAUUAAAACAACAUAUUAAUAAUAUU
rnacentral:sRNA from 1 species